ACUACGUACAGUAUAUACAUAAUUACAUGCACAUGCAUCAUACGCGUGUAUAAUUAAGUCAAGUACAAAUCGAUCAUGUUGGAAUUUACAGGUAUCCAGAAGACAGGUAUGAUCGGGUAUGGUACUCUGGAUAUGGUAUAAAUGCUUACCAGGUGAGUCAAGCUACAUCCAUUGAUGUGAUGAGUGGUGCAGUGGAUGAUCCUCCGGCGGUUGUAUUGCAAAAUGCGACCACCGCGCCCGGCCGUAACACUUCGGAAUAUUAUCAAUUCUUUUCCUACCUACAACAAGACUAUGACGUUCCUGUGUACAUGCAUUACCACCUACUUCUCCGAAGUUCUUCGAUUCACUUCUCCCAGCUACAAACGAUCCUUUCGGAUUUAUGUGGACAACAAUCCUUAUUCCGAAGCAAUAAUUCCGCCUUUCGGUGGUGUAGAGGAGGUGGCUAUUACCAACAUCACUGCUUCUUUAAAAACAGGCUUCUAUCUCAUGCCAACAUCAGAUGCCACUCUCCCUGUUCUUAUCAAUGCCUUUGAAGUUUAUACCGUCAGUGAUCCGUUGUCAUCUGGAACCCAUAUAGCAGAUGGAAUCUCAGUAGCUUCGGUCUUAUCGGUCUACUACCAAAUUUUAGUUCUAUGGAUGCCCUUGUGACGAUUGAUUUGCACGACAAUAGCUUAACUGGUUCUAUUCCUGAAUUUCUUGGCUCUUUCCCGAAUCUAAAGAAACUGGAUUUGUCACACAACAGAUUCAACGGAACCGUACCCCCUUCCUUAUCCGGCAAGAACUUGUCACUGGUUGGAGAGGUUAGCGGUACUCAGGCCAGCUGCAGUUCGAGGUGUUAGUUAAAUGGAGCGGUGAUCCGUGUCUUCCAUCAAAUGAAUCUCAGUACGUGGGAAUGGGUUCAAUAAUGUAGCACAGGCACAAUUCCUCGUAUAAUUGUGAUAGAUCCGAAAGGGAUAUAUAUGCUACACGUACGUAUGUAAUGAAUGCAUGCAGCAGUUGCUACGGUUUGGUUGGUACAUUACAGGAAUCUGAGCAGCUACAGCAGUUCCUACACGUACAUUGCAGGAAUCUGAGCAGCUACGGUUUGGUUGGUACAUUACCAGAUAUCAGUUCCAUGGAUCGAUGCCCUUGUCACCAUUGAUUUGCGCGAUAACGGCUUAGAGGGUCCUAUUCCUGAGUUUCUUGGCCCCUUGUCAGGAGGCCGGAUCACACAAAGCUAGUCCUCCACCAAGCAGUGAGCUAGCUGCAACACAAUUUUAUCUACUAUUUAUGAGUGAG